rnacentral:rRNA from 1 species
CCACACUGGGACUGAGAUACGGCCCAGACUCCUACGGGAGGCAGCAGUGGGGAAUAUUGCACAAUGGGCGCAAGCCUGAUGCAGCGACGCCGCGUGAGGGAUGACGGCCUUCGGGUUGUAAACCUCUUUCAAUAGGGACGAAGCGCAAGUGACGGUACCUAUAGAAGAAGGACCGGCCAACUACGUGCCAGCAGCCGCGGUAAUACGUAGGGUCCGAGCGUUGUCCGGAAUUACUGGGCGUAAAGAGCUCGUAGGUGGUUUGUCGCGUUGUUCGUGAAAACUCACAGCUUAACUGUGGGCGUGCGGGCGAUACGGGCAGACUAGAGUACUGCAGGGGAGACUGGAAUUCCUGGUGUAGCGGUGGAAUGCGCAGAUAUCAGGAGGAACACCGGUGGCGAAGGCGGGUCUCUGGGCAGUAACUGACGCUGAGGAGCGAAAGCGUGGGGAGCGAACAGGAUUAGAUACCCUGGUAGUCCACGCCGUAAACGGUGGGUACUAGGUGUGGGUUUCCUUCCUUGGGAUCCGUGCCGUAGCUAACGCAUUAAGUACCCCGCCUGGGGAGUACGGCCGCAAGGCUAAAACUCAAAGGAAUUGACGGGGGCCCGCACAAGCGGCGGAGCAUGUGGAUUAAUUCGAUGCAACGCGAAGAACCUUACCUGGGUUUGACAUGCACAGGACGCCAGUAGAGAUAUUGGUUCCCUUGUGGCCUGUGUGCAGGUG